rnacentral:rRNA from 1 species
GCGUGAGUGAAGAAGGCCCUAGGGUUGUAAAACUCUUUCAGUGGUGAAGAUGAUGACGGUAACCACAGAAGAAGCUCCGGCUAACUUCGUGCCAGCAGCCGCGGUAAUACGAAGGGGGCGAGCGUUAUUCGGAAUCACUGGGCUUAAAGCGUGCGUAGGCGGAUUUACAAGUCAGAAGUGAAAGCCCGGGGCUCAACCCCGGAACUGCUUUUGAAACUGUAAGUCUAGAGUCCCGGAGAGGUUAGCGGAAUUCCGAGUGUAGAGGUGAAAUUCGC